AACGAACGCUGGCGGCAUGCCUAAUACAUGCAAGUCGAACGAGAUCUUCGGAUCUAGUGGCGCACGGGUGCGUAACGCGUGGGAAUCUGCCCUUGGGUUCGGAAUAACUUCUGGAAACGGAAGCUAAUACCGGAUGAUGACGUAGGUCCAAAGAUUUAUCGCCCAAGGAUGAGCCCGCGUAGGAUUAGCUAGUUGGUGGGGUAAAGGCCCACCAAGGCGACGAUCCUUAGCUGGUCUGAGAGGAUGAUCAGCCACACUGGGACUGAGACACGGCCCAGACUCCUACGGGAGGCAGCAGUAGGGAAUAUUGGACAAUGGGGGAAACCCUGAUCCAGCAAUGCCGCGUGAGUGAUGAAGGCCUUAGGGUUGUAAAGCUCUUUUACCCGGGAUGAUAAUGACAGUACCGGGAGAAUAAGCUCCGGCUAACUCCGUG
rnacentral:rRNA from 1 species